CCUCACAGCUGCCGACACCUGUAUCAUCUUUGACUCUGACUGGAAUCCUCAGAACGACCUGCAGGCUCAGGCUCGCUGCCACAGGAUUGGUCAGAAUAAAGCAGUAAAAGUAUAUCGACUAAUCACACGUAACUCAUAUGAGCGAGAGAUGUUCGAUAGAGCCAGUCUAAAGCUGGGAUUGGAUAAAGCGGUGCUUCAGAGCAUGAGCGGACGAGACAGCAGUCUAGGAGGAGGAGGGCAGAUGCAGCAGCAGCUCUCUAAGAAGGAGAUUGAGGAUCUUCUGCGGCGUGGAGCUUAUGGUGCCAUCAUGGACGAG